UUGAGCCGUAUGCGGGGAAACUCGCACGUACGGUUCUUAGGGGGGAGCAAACCAGCAAUGGUAUGCUCCUACCCUCC
rfam:Cupriavidus metallidurans CH34, complete genome.